UCAAUGAAAUGUUUUUCCUGCUUGUGUAGUAUGCUUGAUCCUUGCAGGCAAGUGUGCUUACCGGAAAAGCUAGAUGGUGAAGUGUUAAGAGACGUAUGCACUCCACACUUUUUAGCCCCAAACCGCGUAUACUUAGUAUUUUGGAGUAUAUGCUAGUACAGCAUGACUCGUAGAUCCGGUGAUGACUGAAAUUGCCUGCAUGUAAUCAAUACUUACUUAACUUUGUCUGGUUGAACAUCUCGCAGCCAUUCCAGGUCAAUGCUUCCAUGAUCUUUAACCAAUCUGUUGAGGAAAGCCUGCAGAAAUCCGUCACGUAAUGAUAUUGAGGAAUUACCUGUUGGGUUUUGCCCGAGUGCUUCAGCUGAUUUCACGGUGUCCGUUGGAAAAAUGCUUUCCUGCUGAAAGGUCUCCUGCAUUCCUCCGAGUUUAUAGUUCAUGAAAUGUCGGUU